rnacentral:lncRNA from 1 species
GGCUGGGGACGGCCCGGAGCCCCCCGGCUCAGCCCCGUGUCCCCCCGGAUCACCCCCGGCCACCGCCCCGCAGCAGGGCCCGGGAUGUGCCCAGUGCCCCCCAGCACCCCGCUGAGCCGAGCCCCAGUCCUGCCCGGGGUGGGGGGCGCUGCUCGGGGGCUGCCCAGCACCGGGGGCACCCGGGGGAGCCCCGGCCCUGGGCAGGGCUCUGUGGGGCCCAGGACCCUAAGGGACGGGGCUGGUCGCUGGGCCAGCACAGGGAGACCCUGCCCCAGAGCAGAGCCACAGCCUCUGGGGACCCUGCCCCUAAAAUCUGGGGUGCUUCUGCCCCACCAGCCCCCUCCCCGGCCUUACAGCCCCGUCCCCGGCCUUACAGCCCCCUCCCUGCCCUCACAGCCCCCUCCCUGCCCCCGGGCCCAUGUCCCGCUGGCGGCAGGCCCAGGCGCGCACACGCGCUGCUGCGCUGGGCUGCAUCUGGCAGGGGGAGGGCUGCUGGCUGUGUUUAUCCCGCUGCUGCUUCUUCGCUCCCCUCCUUUUGCUUCCCAGAAAGUUUCCGCCCGGCCAGGGGAGGCGAGGAGGCUGCCAGAGGCAGGGAGCGCGGCCGCUGCGGGCUCUGCCCUGCGCCUCGGGGCUGGCGGCGCGGCUGCGGGGCGAUGCUGUAGGGCUGGGGAGGCAGCGCCAGGACAGAGCAGCCCCAGAGGUAGGUGUGGGGCAGGGCUGGGGGCGGCUGCCGACCCGGGACGAGUGCCGUGGAGCUGUGCCCCUGUGCCUGCUGUCAGCGGCGGGCUGCCCAGCAGCGGUGUGGACUCACCCAGGAGGUGGCGUGGGUGCACGGGUGCCCUGGGGCAAGUCCCGUCCCCUUGGCCGUGCCCCAGGUAGCCGGGCAAGGACCUUGUCCUACCCGCAAGGGGGUGGUGGGGACCGCAGGGCUGAGCCUCGCGUGUCCUUUGAGGGGACAGCUCAACCUGCAGCAGCCCUGGGAGACUCAGUGCUGGCGCCUGCAGAUCAGGCCCGACAUGGUGUGGGGCUGCACCCUCUCCGUCAGUCCCUGGCUGCCCCCUCCCUGUGCAGCUCCAGCCCCGCUGCCCGCCGGGUCUGGGCUGCUCCCAGUUUGCAAAUGGCUCCGCAAACAUCCCAGCUGCUGGGGCGAGAGGCUGGGGGGAGCCGUCCCUCCAGCACAUCCCUGGACGCCAGAGGCAUCCCAGCUCCCGUUGCUGCGGCUCAGGGGGGGCUGCGUCCACCAUGGGAGGGUGAGGAGGGUGAGGGGGGGCAUGCCGGUCCUGCAGCGCUCUGAACCCCCUCAUCUCUCCCCGGCAUUUGCUCUUCUUUCAUCCUGCUCUUUCAAGCUGCCUGGAAUGUUUUCAGGAUGUUUUGACUUGCAGUCCCGGGGCUUCAGCAGCCGCUGGAUUUAAAUCUCCCAACUGCUCCUGGAGAGCAUCCAGCCCCGACAGGAAAAAACAGAAUCCCUUCAGCAAGACCGGAGAUGCCCGCGCAUACGUGCGUGCUGCCUGGCCGCCGUGCCUGCGGGGCGCGGGGGGGAGACGCCUGCUGGGGGUGCUGGGGAGCCCCGCGUCCUGCAGGCAGCGCCACGUGCGCAGAGCGCGCUCGCCUCCAUUUGCAGCCCUGCAGCAGCCCGCAAGCAGCCUGCCUUUCCCAGGAGGAACAUCCUGGCUAAGGAUUUCUCCUCCCCGCUGAGCAAAGCUGUGUGCUCCCUGGGGCUGAGCCUGCUGCAGGUUCCCGGGAAUCGUCUGGCUCAACGGGAGGCCUGAGCACCGUGGUCCUGGGGCGGGGAGAAAGCCAGGGGCUCCCCGGCAGCGGGCUGCCAUCGCCGGCAUAU